AAAAAUCCAAAAUACAACUACUGGGAAGAUAAAGAAAAAGAAAGCAGGACUGCGGUCGCCAGGCAGCUACCUUACUAUCUCCAGUGAUCAGCAACAGAAAAUAUCAACAGCCGCUACCAUGUCCAAAGAUACCUGGAUCUGCACACAAGGUGCAGGGGAUAACGUGAGUGCACCAACUAGUAAGUAACAAGUCCAAACUAUGGACUGACAGGUAGUGAAAAACUUAACCUCAAUAGGUAAACAGAAGUAAACUGUGCAGAAAAGAAGGCAUGCUUUCAAUUCAAGUAUUCAGCUCAAGCAGUAAAGUAAAUACAAAUCUAGACAAUGUGAGGUAUAAAGCCCAACUAAUUUCUACGUGCCAAUGCACAGAAUGUAUGAAAAUACACCAUGUACCUCCACUCUCAAGUGCUCAACCACUCGGUGUCACACCUCCUUUUUACUACCCCACAGAGGGGUAUAUAAGGGAGUUUUUUCAAUUUAAGUGACAAUCGAAACGAAAUUUAUUUAUUUAUUCAGAGUCGCCACUUGGGAUAGUUAAUGGUGUCCCAAGUCAUCGGUUUUAAAUCCCAAAUAGAGGAAAGAUUAACUCUGUUCUAUAGUCCGCGAACACAGAAAUCCGGGUAAGGAAUUCUGUUAACCCGGGAGAAGGUGUUAGGCAUUCCCGAGUUCCGUGGUUCUAGCACGGUCGCUCAACUGUUAUUAUUAGCUUAAUUAUCUGACUUAUUACAUAUUUAAAACCUAUUGUGCAUUUUUAACUUACAACCGCUUUUAAUUAUUUAUGAAUUUGUUUUAACAAGGCGUGAUUGUCGCGCACUCGUUUGUUUGCAUACACAUUGCAAAUUCUGUCACGGGAACCGUACCCACGAUCUACAACAUGCUUAUUUUAUUAUUGUUCGGAGUUGGGGGAUCGAGUCAUGCCAGCGUACACUCAGAUUUUGGGGUUAAGUAUCAUGACUAUGUCACGUGAACCGUACACAUAGUCACGAUUAUUACUAACGCGCUUAAAUCAAACUACGAUUUUCAUAAUUUUCCUAAACUAAUUUGGGAUUAUUGUGAGGCCAAGAGUUAUAGAAGUUAUUGUAGAAAGAGGGUAGUGUUUAGUUAUUGAAAUUAUCUAUUAUGGAACAAUCUUUAUUAAUUAAAAAGAUAUACUAGCUGAAAUAUUAUUGAUCUUGAGUUAACUAGAAUUAAAUUUGUUGGCCCAAUUGCUUCUCAGUUCUUAUAUUUGUACUACGGACCAACAUUGAAGUAAGGCUAAAAGCAGUAAACAUUAUUUUUAAAUUCAAAUUCUUUCCCCAUAGACAAAAUCCUUAGUCUAAAUAUUUGUACUUGUUAUCAGAUAGGAGAAAAUCAACUAUGCUAAGAAAAGAACGAUGAUAUGACCCAACAACUAAAUUGCACCAAUUAGUUCUACUUACUCAGAUUUGAUUUAUGAUAAAGAACAUGGACAAAAUAUGUAUGAAAUCUAAAACUCUAAUAAGGUGAAUUCAACAGGAACAAAGAAUUAUCCAUUCACACAAUUAACAAGAGGUACAAUGAGGAUAUGAACAUAUAAACACUCAAGAGUCAAAAAAUCCAAUCAUCAACAAAACGAACUACUACCUCAUGUCACACAAUAAUUACAUUAACAAAUAAUAAUGUAAAUGGACAAAAUAAUCAGUCGAAAAUAUACGUGAACGGACCUUUGGUAUAAAUCGACCAAAUUGGAAUUACAAGAGGUUAAAUAACUCGACGACUCUUGACCGGAGCUUUCGCCUAUGAACCCGGAUGGAACUGGCUACUGAAGACCUCAACGGCAACAACGACAGUACCUCAGAACGCAACUAAACGGAUACUCGUACAACAACUUUCCUGGAUCUGUCCAUUUUUCUCUAAUGCGAACAAUUUUUAACAAAAAACUUUGCCGGAUAAACUCGAACCUCUUUAACCCAACUCGAAAUUCUAGCUAAACCAUGGGGUGUUCAAGCUUGAAAGAACUCUUGGCCAUGACAAGACUCAGACUUUGAUAUUACCAAAACAGAAGAAAAUCAAAGAAUUAAAGAGGGGUUGUGAUCGAUUUGGAUGUUUUUACAAAAGAAAAAGGGUGCGCCUUUGAAAGAAUAAGAACUAAUGACUUUGAACGAAUUCUCACUAUUUAAAUGGAAAAGUGAAAAGAGUUUGUUCUGCUACCCGGAAUCAAUUGGAGAAAGUUUGGAUUUACAAGGAAACUACAAGUAUUUGCUUAGUUUCGUACUCUGUUUUUUUGAGAAUUGGAGACGAUGGUCUUCUUUUCCUUUUUU
rnacentral:lncRNA from 1 species